rnacentral:rRNA from 1 species
AGAGUUUGAUCCUGGCUCAGGAUGAACGCUAGCGGGAGGCUUAACACAUGCAAGCCGAGGGGUAGAAUUAGCUUGCUAAUUUGAGACCGGCGCACGGGUGCGUAACGCGUAUGCAACUUGCCCUACUGAAAAGGAUAGCCCAGAGAAAUUUGGAUUAAUACUUUAUAAUAGACUGAAUGGCAUCAUUUAGUUUUGAAAGAUUUAUCGCAGUAGGAUAGGCAUGCGUAAGAUUAGAUAGUUGGUGAGGUAACGGCUCACCAAGUCGACGAUCUUUAGGGGGCCUGAGAGGGUGAACCCCCACACUGGUACUGAGACACGGACCAGACUCCUACGGGAGGCAGCAGUGAGGAAUAUUGGACAAUGGGUGGAAGCCUGAUCCAGCCAUCCCGCGUGUAGGAUGACGGCCUUAUGGGUUGUAAACUACUUUUAUCUGGGGAUAAACCUACUUACGUGUAAGUAGCUGAAGGUACCAGAAGAAUAAGCACCGGCUAACUCCGUGCCAGCAGCCGCGGUAAU